rnacentral:lncRNA from 1 species
UCGCUUUCAAUAAUCAAGAUGCUAUAUUAUGUUGCUUUGAUAACACUUACUUGAAUUUUAAUGCUAUGUUUGUAUAUUAAAAAAUCGUAUCACAAUGAAAAUAUGUUGAAACUUUCCUUAAAAUCAAUUAUUUUGGUAUUUUCGAAACGUAAACAAAUACAGUUUUCCCAUGAUCCUUUAUUCUACAAUAAAAUUGAGAAUGGAAAUGGGGAAUGUGCCAAAGAGAUAACAACCCGACCAUGGAGCAGACAACAGCAGAAGGUCACUAACAGGUCUUCAAUGUAACGAGAAAUUCCCGCACCUGGAUGCGUCCUUCAGUAGAUAUGUUGACUUUCAAAUGUCUUUUUUCAGUUUUUGUUUUUGUUUUUUGGUUGCCGUCUUAUUGACAUUUACACAUAAUUUUAUAUAUAAACUACCAAUUUUUAUUCAUUUUUUUCAGAUAUGCAGCUAGUUUGUGUGAAGAAUAUUUCUUAACAUUUUCACAGAAGAUAUAAUGAUAUCUUGUAAUUCAGUCACAGGGAUUUAACCUAUGAAAAAAAAUCAACUGUUACAUGUAAACGAAAUAA